GAAAUCGCAUGGGUUAAUACCCUGUGUGGAUGACGGUACCGGAAUAAGAAGCACCGGCUAACUACGUGCCAGCAGCCGCGGUAAUACGUAGGGUGCAAGCGUUAAUCGGAAUUACUGGGCGUAAAGCGUGCGCAGGCGGUUUUGUAAGCCAGAUGUGAAAUCCCCGAGCUUAACUUGGGAACUGCGUUUGGAACUACAAGACUAGAGUGUGUCAGAGGGGGGUAGAAUUCCACGUGUAGCAGUGAAAUGCGUAGAGAUGUGGAGGAAUACCGAUGGCGAAGGCAGCCCCCUGGGAUAACACUGACGCUCAUGCACGAAAGCGUGGGGAGCAAACAGGAUUAGAUACCCUGGUAGUCCACGCCCUAAACGAUGUCUACUAGUUGUCGGGAGAGGAAUCUCUUGGUAACGCAGCUAACGCGUGAAGUAGACCGCCUGGGGAGUACGGUCGCAAGAUUAAAACUCAAAGGAAUUGACGGGGG
rnacentral:rRNA from 1 species